GAGGAGCUGUUUUCCCAUGGGUCCAGGUCUGCCAGCCAGAAGAGCAGAUCUGAUUUGAGGGCAGCUGGGAAGCCGUCCAAUCUGGAGAGCCUCUACAAUUAGCAAAACAAGGUCUGGAAUUCCUGGACUUCACUCCUUGUUAGCGAGAAAGCGAAACACGUGAUGUUCUGCUUUGCUCUCAGUGUCAAAACCUUGUGCUCAUGGGCCCUGGCGGCUACACAGAAAGCCCUGAGGACUGAAACCCUGCAUGGGUACAUUUUGAUGGGGCAGGAAGAAAAGUUCUGGAGUGUGGAGAGCAGAGGUCCAGAGCAUUCACUGAUUUAGCCACAGAAGAAACAGAUGCGGAAACCGGGGCACAGCAGGCGAAGUGAAACUUCCCAUGUUCCAGCAAAGCCCAGUCCAUAACGUGAGGCUUUGUGAGGUUUGUGUGUGCGACCUUCACCCCUUCACCUGGACCCUCUCUUUGUCCUCCUUUCGCACCCAGUGAUGUGUGGCCUGGAUCACUUCCCUGCCCUCAAGUCUUGCCCUGGCCUGACGUUCAGCGGACCCUCCGUGCAUUAAGGAUGGAGGAUGGUUCCUUGUGCUUCCUCUACCAGGUGCACUUGUAUCUGCUCGGAAUUCUGGAAGAGCAAAGACCCACUGGCCCCACUAAUCCAUCUAUUGAUCCUGCCCCGGUCAGCAGGCUGGGUCUAGCCUCCACACUGCCGCUGCUCAGGGUCUGUGGAGGAAGUCGCUGCAGCCAUUCAGCCAGAUGAAUCGCAAUUAAUAAAUGUGGAACGAAUGAGAGACGAAGACGAUGAGCACCAGAGGACUGCAGGGAGCACGGCUGAGGCAACAUCACCAGAGGAUAGUAAAAUUAGCAGACAGAGAUCUAAGCACAAACAGUGUCUCUGUGUAGCCUUAAAGCAUCUCUUUGAAUAUUUAAUGGUUACAAAGGAAAAACAGUGAGUUGAUGGGGGAGAACCCUGGCAGGCACCACCCUAACCAAGAGAUCAAAGUUGGCAUGACCAGGCACAAGGCACACUAACAGCCCACACCCACUGAUCUGGCCCACCGAAAAUGCACAUCACUUCUGUGGCAUUGCCACGGAAUUUCCAAAAAGGCAUUACCUCAGUCCAAUGCAGAGAAGGCGUCAGGCAGACCUAGGCGGAGAGACUGUCCAAGAGCGACAGACCCAUCCUCUUAAAAAGCCGGCCCUGACACAGAAAGGAGACAGAGAAAGGUGACAGCCAAAUGCACGUGGGAGCUGGGAACAGAGGAGGGCACUGGGAGGGGCCUGCCUGCCGUCCAGCUCUCGAGACCACGGCGAGAUUCAGAAGGGAAUUGGGCCAUUCCUUCUCCAAAGCAGAACGUACUGCAGCUGUGAGAGUUCUAGGAGAAAAUUCAGGUGGAUGCUUCUGUAAUCUUGGAAUGGAGGCUAAGCCUGGCAACAAUGCUAGAAAACAGUGCUGAAGUUUGACAGAUUUAGCCACAUACAAUGGCAAAUGACAAACUGUAAAAGGAAUUCUUGUGAGACAGAGGAAGGAAGGAAGGAAGGAAGGAAGGAAGGAAGGAAGGAAGGUAGGAAGGAAGAAAGGAAGGAAGGAAGGGGCACCCUAAUAGGGCAAACAGUAGUAUAGGUCAGAAAUAACUUUGAAAGAACCACAGGGUGCUGGUGGGCCAAUCAGGGACAGACAGACCCCCUCUUCCAGGGGCUGGGCUGGGCUGGGGUGGGGUCCACAGGUGCAGCCCUGGAGCUGGGCUUGCCUGUCUGCAUCCAAGCAUCCCUGUGCUUUCCCUGUGAGCUGGCAGUCCCCACUAUGAGAUUCUAGCCUGGGAAUGUGCUAUAGGGAAGCUUACAGCAGCAGAUCAUAGAAAAGCAAAAUAGAAAUGUGAAAGGAAAAUAAAAACUUGGGACCCCUACUCCCUCCGCCAAAAGAAAAAAAAAAUGCUGAAAGUGGAGUCAUGCAAGAAGCUGCCUUUCCCUUUGUUCCUAAGCAGAUAGAGACAGAUAAAAGGUUAAAGAUCUCCACUCUGCAUUCACCUUAUCUUGUGUGAAGAGUCGAGUUACUGAGCAUGGGACGAACACAUAACUGACCAUUCCCCUACAUGCUCCUUUUCUUUUGCAACAUUUGGAUUCAGUAAUGUGACCAUACCCUCCCUCUGUCCCCUCCAGCUGGCUUUUUCCUUUAAAUACUGAAGCCCUCGAAAUCAUCUUUGGAGAAAGGCACAGACCUGUCUCCCAAGACGUGUCCUUAAUCUUGGCAAAGUAAACUUCUAAGUUGAUCGAGGCUUGUCUCAGAUAUUUUCAGGUUUACAGAAAGAAAUUCAAUUUCAGUCACAAACGGAAUGAUAAAAUAAGUUGUUACGCAUCCAUAGAAAGAAGAUAUUAACAUGGUAAGCCCUGUAUUUAUUAACCUAUGCUUACGAUAAAUAAAAACAGGCUGUAUGGUCAAAGGUGGAAUACAGCUAUAAGGAGAGAAGAAGUGAGAAAUGUAUCGUCUUUUAAAUUCGUUUCCUUUAUUACUAGUGAAGUUGAGGAUAUGCUCCCAUUUAGGGGCCGGUUACUUUGUCUUCUGUGAAUUGCCUGUUAAAUCCUUACCCAUUUCCUACUCUUUUCUUAUUGAUUGGAAAGACAUGUUUAUGCAACACAGAUAUUAACCAUUGGCACAUUACUUCUAUUGUAAACUAUUUUCUCCCUGCCUGGAAUUUGUCCUUUAAUUUGUUUAAGGAGGCAUUCAUUUAGUUCUUGCAAUAUUCAAAUCUGUCAGUCAUUUCCUUUACGGUUUCCAGGUUUUGUUUGCUGCUUAGUAAAAGCCUUCUUCACCAUAGGAUUUUAAAAAUAUUCUUCCAUAUUUGGCUUUAAAACUUUUAUAGAUUUUUUAAAUGUUUAGCUCUUUAAUACACCUGGAGUUUAUUCUUGCAAAUGGUAAGAAGAUUCUAACAUUGGUUUCAAAAUGGAUAGUGAGUUUUCCCCAAAGCCUCUGUUGACCUUCCAUCUUUCCAGCUUGGCUUUGAAAGGUCUCCUGUAUCAAAUACUAAAUUUCCCCAUAAACAUGAAUCUGUUUCUGGAUUUUCUGUGUGAAUUACUGAAGUCUUUUUGGAGGUUUUCGAAAUCAUCUUCAGGAUUCCUAUAUAUUUUCUCUUUCAGAUGAACUUUCAAAUCAGCUUCUCAAGUGUCAACAUCCUGUUGCGAUUUUCAUUGAUAUUGAACUGAAUUUAUAGAUUUUGUAAGCAGAAAAAAAUUAUUUUAAUUUUUUGAGAAAAAAAGUUUUAAAUGGUUUGUUUUCAGACUGUGUCAAGAUAUCCCUACCUCCGAAGUUGUCAGGUUUGCGGACCUUGGGGUGAAGCGUGGGGCUGCUGGAGGCGUCCAGCCCUGACUGUGUGUCCAGGACAAUGAGCCCCGAAGUGAGCGGGCCGCGUCCUGUUGGCGCAGCCAACUUCACGCCCUCUGUCCAGGGAGGACUAAGGGACAAGCUGCAGCAGGCGCAGAGGACGCUGUUGGUGUCCGGGAGGCCGCUGGUACAGGGCGUUGGGCGUGGCUCCUUUCCAAGUGCCUUGCACUUUCCAGGCUGGGCUGCAGAAGCAGGCUCGGGGGCGACUCGCGUGGGGACUGAAGCAGCCAGCCUUGGCACCUGCCCACAGCAAAUAACUGCCUUGACUUGAUCUGGUUUUUUUGAAGAAAGGUUUAUUCAUACCCAUUAUGUGCGCAUGU
rnacentral:lncRNA from 10 species